CGCGGCAGGUCCCCGUGAACCCCGUGAGGUCCGGAAGGAAGCAGCGGUAAACGGAGUGGCCUGGGUGCCGCAAGGGCGCCUGGCCUGA
rnacentral:SRP_RNA from 1 species